rnacentral:tRNA from 1 species
AAGUCUUAAGUUAAGAAAACUGUUAACCUUCAAAGUUGAGAAUAAAAUAAAAGCAUUUUAGGCUUUGU